rnacentral:rRNA from 1 species
CGAAAACGAAUUCUCUCUUGAGUGGAUCCUGAGUACGACGGAGCACGUGAAAUUCCGUCGGAAUCUGGGAGGACCAUCUCCUAAGGCUAAAUACUCUCUAGUGACCGAUAGUGAACCAGUACCGUGAGGGAAAGGUGAAAAGUACCCCGGAAGGGGAGUGAAAGAGAACUUGAAACCGUGUGCUUACAAGUAGUCAGAGCCCGUUAAUGGGUGAUGGCGUGCCUUUUGUAGAAUGAACCGGCGAGUUACGAUCUGAUGCAAGGUUAAGCAGAAAAUGUGGAGCCGUAGCGAAAGCGAGUCUGAAUAGGGCGAAUGAGUAUUUGGUCGUAGACCCGAAACCAGGUGAUCUACCCUUGGUCAGGUUGAAGUUCAGGUAACACUGAAUGGAGGACCGAACCGACUUACGUUGAAAAGUGAGCGGAUGAACUGAGGGUAGCGGAGAAAUUCCAAUCGAACUUGGAGAUAGCUGGUUCUCUCCGAAAUAGCUUUAGGGCUAGCCUCAAGUGAUGAUUAUUGGAGGUAGAGCACUGUUUGGACGAGGGGCCCCUCUCGGGUUACCGAAUUCAGACAAACUCCGAAUGCCAAAUAAUUUAACUUGGGAGUCAGAAUGUGGGUGAUAAGGUCCAUAUUCGAAAGGGAAACAGCCCAGACCACCAGCUAAGGUCCCAAAAUAUAUGUUAAGUGGAAAAGGAUGUGGCGUUGCCCAGACAACUAGGAUGUUGGCUUAGAAGCAGCCAUCAUUUAAAGAGUGCGUAAUAGCUCACUAGUCGAGUGACACUGCGCCGAAAAUGUACCGGGGCUAAACAUAUUACCGAAGCUGUGGAUUGUCCUUUGGACAAUGGUAGGAGAGCGUUCUAAGGGCGUUGAAGCAUGAUCGCAAGGACAUGUGGAGCGCUUAGAAGUGAGAAUGCCGGUGUGAGUAGCGAAAGACGGGUGAGAAUCCCGUCCACCGAUUGACUAAGGUUUCCAGAGGAAGGCUCGUCCGCUCUGGGUUAGUCGGGUCCUAAGCUGAGGCCGACAGGCGUAGGCGAUGGAUAACAGGUUGAUAUUCCUGUACCACCAUUAUUCGUUUUAAGCGAUGGGGGGACGCAGUAGGAUAGGCGAAGCGUGCUGUUGGAGUGCACGUCCAAGCAGUGAGAUUGAGUGUUAGGCAAAUCCGGCACUCUUAAGAUUGAGCUGUGAUGGGGAGAGGAACUUGUUCCUCGAGUCGUUGAUUUCACACUGCCGAGAAAAGCCUCUAGCUAGAAUAACGGUG